UGCUGAUGUGAAUCGGCAAGUUCAACGUGUUUGUUGUUUAUUACAGAAGUGGAUAAGGUCGUUAGAUGGGCUAGAAACCACUAUCUAUCAUCAACAGCUCUUCCUUCUAUCAAGGGAGACAAGUUAAUCAUUCCCCAUGAGAGUCUGGAUAUAUCAAUUGAGAGGCUGAAGGAACAUGGUAUAACAACUAAGAAAUCCUCUCAAAAUUAGAAGAAAAUUGGGGCUUGCCACAUGAGCAUCAGUCAAAGGUGUUUCAUGUUAAGCAUCUAGAAGUAUUGGCUUUAUUUGCUCUCCCAGCAAGUGCUAUCUGCUUCUUUUGUUCUGAUGUUGUCCUGUGCUGAAUAUUGUUCUAAUAUUGCCCAAAUUUGCAUAUUCUAACUUUGCUCAUGUAUUUUGAGCACAUGAACAAAAAGAGCAGAACAUGCGUAUUCAUCCUGUUGACCCUACUGAUCUUCGCAGGCUUGCCUUAAGUUAAGCUGUCAUCCUGCUGUCUAAUCUGAGCAAAUUCUCAGCAGGGAGGGCAGGUUGUAGUUCGUUCCACUACCGGGUACCCAAACGGCCACAGGGUAAAGGAGCCCCGCCGGGCAGCACCACACAGGUGAUAGACACUGCAGUGGCCAGCAAGAAUGGAGUCAUGGAACAUCGACAGGAGGGGUGCGGCAGCGGCAACCGAUGUAUCCCUUGGACAAUCUGGUUUUGACAUGAUGCAAAUCAAUCUGCUGUACUUUGUAUUCUGCACUUGCACAGAUUGUUUGACUAAUUACAAGAUUAUCUCAGUGUUUUGGUUUGGAUUUAGAGUACACUUAUGUAUGAAAUAUUGAUUGGCACUCAUCUAUAUUAUAUUAAUUAUAUUAUUAUUAAA